rnacentral:rRNA from 1 species
AGUGAACGCUGGCGGCAGGCCUAAUACAUGCAAGUCGAACGGCAGCACAGUGGAGCUUGCUCCAUGGGUGGCGAGUGGCGGACGGGUGAGGAAUACAUGGGAAUCUGCCCAGUCGUGGGGAUAACGUAUGGAAACGUACGCUAAUACCGCAUGCGCCCUUCGGGGAAAGUCGGGGACCGCAAGGCCUGACGCGAUUGGAUGAGCCCAUGUUCGAUUAGCUAGUUGGCGGGUAACGGCCCACCAAGGCGACGAUCGAUAGCUGGUCUGAGAGGAUGAUCAGCCACACUGGAACUGAGACACGGUCCAGACUCCUACGGGAGGCAGCAGUAGGGAAUAUUGGACAAUGGGCGCAAGCCUGAUCCAGCCAUGCCGCGUGAGUGAAGAAGGCCCCUCGGGGUUGUAAAAGCUCUUUUGUUGGGGAAGAAAAGCAGUUGGUUAAUACCCGAUUGUUCUGACGGUACCCAAAGAUAAGCACCGGCUAACUUCGUGCCAGCAG